UGGGGAAUAUUGCACAAUGGGCGCAAGCCUGAUGCAGCCAUGCCGCGUGUAUGAAGAAGGCCUUCGGGUUGUAAAGUACUUUCAGCGGGGAGGAAGGGAGUAAAGUUAAUACCUUUGCUCAUUGACGUUACCCGCAGAAGAAGCACCGGCUAACUCCGUGCCAGCAGCCGCGGUAAUACGGAGGGUGCAAGCGUUAAUCGGAAUUACUGGGCGUAAAGCGCACGCAGGCGGUUUGUUAAGUCAGAUGUGAAAUCCCCGGGCUCAACCUGGGAACUGCAUCGGAUACUGGCAAGCUUGAGUCUCGUAGAGGGGGGUAGAAUUCCAGGUGUAGCGAUGAAAUGCGUAGAGAUCUGGAGGAAUACCGGUGGCGAAGGCGGCCCCCUGGACGAAGACUGACGCUCAGGUGCGAAAGCGUGGGGAGCAAACAGG
rnacentral:rRNA from 1 species